CUAUAAUCCUUGAAUAAACCCCUUAGUAGCAGCUGCUCAUGGAUGUAGUGCAUUUGGAGCUCUUAGUAACUUCAUCCUUUAUAAAGAAAAGUUGUAAUUUCCAGCAAGAAUUUUAAGAGGUCAAGCUUGCUAGUAAGGCUUUCCUUCCAAUUAUUGAGGCUAAAGGGGAGACGAGGCGAAAAGGAUUCAUGAAUAGUCGCUGACAGGUACAGACGCACAGUUUGGUGAUCCUUCCGUUUAGGACAUCCCCUUCUGCUGUUUGGAGUGCUCUUCUCAUUUCAGAGCAUACAUUUUGGUAUAUAAUUGUUCGCUAUGUGUAUAUGUAUUUGUUCAGGGGUACGGUGGGGCCCUGUCCCGCCAUAUGAUUCGUUUGGUCUGUUUAGAGGUCUGUAGACUUAUUUGUGGGUGUGUGUGCCUACUUCUGCUCAUUUGUGUUUAUAUGACUCUAUUUGUUAUGGCAGCCUUGUCGGCGUGCGUUUGUAUAUAUGUUUUGGGCCGUUGUGCCAUUUGACAGCCUUGUCGGCUUUUGUUAUA